ensembl:lncRNA
CCCCAUGUUAACCAUUAAGUUAACUAAAUGUUAACCCCAUGUUAACCUCCAUGUUAACCAUUAGGUUAACUACAUGUUAACCAUUAGCUUAACUACAUGUUAACCCCACUUUAACCAUUAGGUUAACUACAUGCUAAUGACAUGUUAACCCCCUUGUUAACCAUUAGGUUAACUACAUUGUAACCCCAUGUUAACCAUUAGGUUAACUAGAUGUUAACCAUUAAGUUAACUACCUGUUAACCCCACGAUAACCACCAUGUUAACCUUUAGGUUAACUACAUGUUAACCCCAUGUUAACCAUUAGGUUAACUACAUGUAAACCAUCAGGUUAGCUGCAUCUCAACCCCAUGUUAACUAUUAGGUUAACUACAUGUUAACCCCAUGUUAACCAUUAGGUUAACUACAUGUAAACCAUCAGGUUAGCUACAUGUCAACCCCAUGUUAACUAUUAGGUUAACUACAUGUAAACCCCAUGUUAACCAUUAGGUUAACUAGAUAUUAACCAUUAGGUUAACUACAUGUUAACCCCAUGAUAACCACCAUGUUAACCAUUAGGUUAACUACAUGUUAACCCCAUGUUAACCAUUAGGUUACCUACAUGUUAACCCCAUGUUAACCAUUAGGUUAACCCCAUGUUAACCAUUAGGUUAACUACAUGUUAACCAUUAGCUUACCCACAUGUUAACCCCCAUGUUAACCAUUAGGUUAACUACAUGUUAACCCCAUGUUAACCAUUAGGUUAACUAGAUAUUAACCAUUAGGUUAACUACAUGUUAACCCCAUGAUAACCACCAUGUUAACCAUUAGGUAAACUACAUGUUAACCCCAUGUUAACCAUUAGGUUAACUAGAUAUUAACCAUUAGGUUAACUACAUGUUAACCCCAUGAUAACCACCAUGUUAACCAUUAGGUUAACUACAUGUUAACCCCAUGUUAACCAUUAGGUUACCUACAUGUUAACCCCAUGUUAACCAUUAGGUUAACUACAUGUUAACCCCCAUGUUAACCAUUAGGUUAACUAGAUGUUAACCAUUAGGUUAACUACAUGUUAAUCUCGGUUCAUAUUCCGGCUCUACUCACCGCAGGAAGCAGCAAAUAUUAGGAUGGAGACGAGAACCCGGACCCCCCCGGGCGAGGAGAGGCUAA